CUACGGGUGGCUCCAGUGAGGAAUAUUGCACAAUGGGGGGAACCCUGAUGCAGCAACGCCGCGUGGAGGAUGACGCAUUUCGGUGUGUAAACUCCUUUUAUAUGUCAAGAAAAUGACGGUAGCAUAUGAAUAAGCACCGGCUAACUCCGUGCCAGCAGCCGCGGUAAUACGGAGGGUGCAAGCGUUACUCGGAAUCACUGGGCGUAAAGGACGCGUAGGCGGGUUGGAAAGUCAGGUGUGAAAUCCUACAGCUUAACUGUAGAACUGCACUUGAAACUUCUAAUCUAGAGUAUGGGAGGGGGAGAUGGAAUUAGUGGUGUAGGGGUAAAAUCCGUAGAUAUCACUAGGAAUACCUAAAGCGAAGGCGAUCUCCUGGAACAUUACUGACGCUAAGGCGUGAAAGCGUGGGGAGCAAACUGGAUUAGAUACCCUGGUACUC
rnacentral:rRNA from 1 species